UACGGAGGGUGCAAGCGUUAAUCGGAAUUACUGGGCGUAAAGCGUGCGUAGGCGGUUCGUUAAGUCUGUUGUGAAAGCCCCGGGCUCAACCUGGGAAUGGCAAUGGAUACUGGCGAGCUAGAGUGUGUCAGAGGAUGGUGGAAUUCCCAGUGUAGAGGUGAAAUUCGUAGAUAUUGGGAAGAACACCGGUGGCGAAGGCGGCAUCCUGGACCAAUACUGACACUGAGGAGCGAAAGCCAGGGGAGCAAACGGG
rnacentral:rRNA from 1 species